rnacentral:tRNA from 1 species
GAGGGUAUAGCUCAGUGGUAGAGCACCUGUUUAACAUGCACAAGGUCCUAGGUUCAAUCCUCAGUACUUCCA